AAUGAACGCUGGCGGCGUGCCUAACACAUGCAAGUCGAACGCGAAAGCCCUGCUUGCAGGGUGAGUAGAGUGGCGAACGGGUGAGUAACGCGUGGGUAACCUACCCCCCAGUUGGGGAUAAUCCCGCGAAAGUGGGUCUAAUACCGGAUGACAUCGCCUCUCCUCGGAGGGGUGAUCAAAGAUGGCCUCUGGUACAAGCUAUCGCUGGGGGAGGGGCUCGCGUCCUAUUAGCUUGUUGGUGGGGUAACGGCCCACCAAGGCGACGAUGGGUAGCCGGCCUGAGAGGGUGUCCGGCCACACUGGAACUGAGACACGGUCCAGACUCCUACGGGAGGCAGCAGUGGGGAAUUUUUCGCAAUGGGCGAAAGCCUGACGAAGCGACGCCGCGUGGACGAUGAAGGCCUUCGGGUCGUAAAGUCCUGUCGGGUGGGAAGAAAAGUAUGAGUUCGAAUAAAGCUCAUGCUUGACGGUACCACCCAAGGAAGCCCCGGCCAACUCCGUGCCAGCAGCCGCGGUAAUACGGGGGGGGCAAGCGUUAUUCGGAAUCACUGGGCGUAAAGGGCGUCUAGGCGGUCGGGUAAGUCGUGGGUGAAAGCCCCCGGCUCAACCGGGGAAGUGCCUGCGAAACUAUCCGACUUGAGGUCGGGAGAGGAAAGUGGAAUUCCCAGUGUAGCGGUGAAAUGCGCAGAUAUUGGGAGGAACACCAGUGGCGAAGGCGGCUUUCUGGACCGACCCUGACGCUGAAGCGCGAAAGCUAGGGGAGCGAACGGGAUUAGAUACCCCCGGUAGUCCUAGCCGUAAACGAUGGGCACUUGGUGUAGCAGGAUUUAAAACCUGCUGUGCCGAAGCUAACGCAUUAAGUGCCCCGCCUGGGGAGUACGGCCGCAAGGCUGAAACUCAAAGGAAUUGACGGGGGCCCGCACAAGCGGUGGAGCAUGUGGUUUAAUUCGAUGCAACGCGAAGAACCUUACCGGGGCUUGAAGUGUGGUUGACAGGAUGAGAAAUUAUCCCU
rnacentral:rRNA from 1 species